rnacentral:rRNA from 1 species
AGAGUUUGAUCCUGGCUCAGGAUGAACGCUGGCGGCGUGCUUAACACAUGCAAGUCGACGGAAAGGCCAGUGCUUGCACUGGUACUCGAGUGGCGAACGGGUGAGUAACACGUGGGUGAUCUGCCCUGUACUUCGGGAUAAGCUUGGGAAACUGGGUCUAAUACCGGAUAGGACAACUUUUUUGGAUAUUGUUGUGGAAAGCUUUUGCGGUAUGGGAUGAGCUCGCGGCCUAUCAGCUUGUUGGUGGGGGUAAUGGCCUACCAAGGCGUCGACGGGUAGCCGGCCUGAGAGGGUGUACGGCCACAUUGGGACUGAGAUACGGCCCAGACUCCUACGGGAGGCAGCAGUGGGGAAUAUUGCACAAUGGGCGCAAGCCUGAUGCAGCGACGCCGCGUGGGGGAUGAAGGCCUUCGGGUUGUAAACUCCUUUCGCUAGGGACGAAGCGCAAGUGACGGUACCUGGAGAAGAAGCACCGGCUAACUACGUG